UGUGGGGCCACUGCGCGGGGACGCCCCUCCGGGCCCUGGGCGUUGAAGCGGCUGAGGGGACGUGCGGGCGGAGCAGGCAACGAGGGGACGGGGCGUCGCAGGACAGUCGAGGGGGCUUCCCGGUGGGCCGCGCGUCCCCGACGAGCCCGUGUCGUUCGGCGUCGACCUGGGCGCCCCCCGGCCUCUCCAGGCGGCGACCCGCGGCGUCCCGGCCGCCCCGGGGCGCUGGGUCCCCUGUGCGCGGCGGCGGCCUCCCUGUGACAUGCGCAGAGGCAGCGGCGCCCUGCGCGGGCGCAGCCCAGCCGACGACUCAGGCGAUGCACGCUGGUGUGGGGGCGCCCGCGUCCCGGCCGCGCGUGCGCAGCGCGCCAGCCGUCGGGUCUGUGGAGCCAGGGCCCGCCAGCCCCGGUCUUCACCCGGGGGAACGCAGCCCUCCUCGGGAGCUGCCCUCCUGGGGACGCGGUGUCCCGGGGGCGGCCCCUCUCGGCCGGCGCGGCCCCGAUGCCCCUGCCCGCACGAGCAGCCCCUCUGCGCCCCGGUGCUGGUGCCCGAGCGCGGCCAGCCGCCCUGGACGGUCCCUGCGCGUGAGCCCCAGGACAGCUGUGUCCCGGGGCGUCUCCGGGUCUCUGCUCGUCCCCGCCGCCCAUCCCGCACCGCCUGCGCGCCGGCCCGGCCGCAGCACCCAGACGAGUGGGCGUGAUAGCGCACUGGCGUGGAGACCUGGAUGGGCAGGCAAGGGAGGGGGCGAGGGCGUCACUGACUGUCGGGCAGAACGUGGGAAGGAAACGCCUCCUGGGAGACGCGUCUGUGCAGGCGCGCUGGGGAAAAUCUCGGACACGGGUAGAGUGGUGUGACAGCGCCCCGCCGGCCGGCUUCCGCAGGCGGUGUCGCGGCCCGUUUCCUCCGUUCCCCUCUUCCUUGUUGUCCUGCAGCUUCUGUAAAGAGAUCCCACACAGACGCCUCACUCUGAAAUAAUUCUUUUUGUGAGGAAGCUCAGCCCUGAGCGGACAUCUGCCACUCCUCCUCCUUUUGCUGAGGGAGACUGGCCCCGGGCUGACAUCCGUGCCCAUCUGCCUCCACUUCAUGUGGGAGCCGCCACAGCAUGGCCCGACAGGCGGUGAGUCGGUGCUGCUGGGGAUCCGACCCGGCGAACCCGGGCCGCCACAGCCGAGCCCGCGCGGUUGCCGCUGCGCCACCCGCGGCCUCUGUAAUAGUGCGUUGGUGGUUGUGUCUGUGCUCACAGUGUGCAUCUCAAGAAACAUUAGGAAAAUACGUACCACUUAAGUUCCUCGUUACUCUGAUAGCUACUUUAGGUUCAGAUUUCCCCGAGUGUCUCCCAGGUGCCUUUUUAUGGUUGGUUGGGUGGAAUCCGCACCCACACUGAGGCCUAGGCAUUUAAUUUGGUUUUUGUCUCUUUUCGUCUUUAAACAACCUCCCUUCCAUGCCACCUUUUAAAACGUGCAUUUCUCAGAGAAACCACAUUCCACAGUCUGGUUUUGGGUAUUUGCUUGCUUGUGGUGUGAUUUAAUUUGCUUUCCCUAUAAUCUGAUAUUUAGAUCUAGGUUAAAAAAAAUGUCCAGAUCCUCAUGGCAGGUAGGACUCCGAUUUGAGCCCAAGCAGUCUGACUCCAGACUUAGGCCUCUCAACCUCUGCUGUGUGCUCGCCUGCCUCUCUGAUGGAGGGCUUGGCGCUUGUGAAGGCCUGAGGAGAGUGCUGAAUGCGUUUGGUUUAGAGUAGAGGUCGUCGAAAGGGACGCUGGGGGAAGUGAACCCAGGAGGGUGGAUGUGGUAUACAGAAAAAUGGCCCCCAAAGAUGUCCAUGUCCUAGUCCCCAGAACCUGCAAAUAUCUUACCUUAUAUGGCAAAAGGGACUUUGUCAACGUGAUUAAGGACUUUGAGAUAGGGAGAUUAUCCUGGAUUAUGAGGGUGGGCCCAGAGGUAUCACUAAGGUUCCAAUAAGGGAGACAGGAGGGUCAAAGAAAGACCUGUGACAGAAGCAGAAGUCAGAGUGUCGUGACCCAAGCCAAGAAACGUGGGCAGCCUCUCGAAGCUGGAGAAGGUAAGGAAUGGAUUCUUCCCUAGAGUCUCCAGAAGGAACACAGCUCUGCCAACACUUUGAUUUUAGGCUGGUCACGUGUUUUGGCAUUGUGUCCUCUGGAGCUGUCAGAUAAUAAAUUUGUGUUGUUUUAAGCCACUAAGUUUGUAAUAAUUUGUUAAAAUAGCAAUAAGAAACUGGUAUAGUGGAUUGAGCCAGAAUGGGAAGGGAUUCUUUUACUGUUUGCUAAGAAGUAUAGUCAUUUUGAUUAAUAUGGGGCUGGCUGGUGUUCUCAACAAGGAAGUGGCACAAUCACAUCAGUGAUGAAAGUAACAGAGAUGUGGAGGAUGCACUGGAAGGAAUCGCCUUAACAUGGGUUCCCUAUUAGAAAGGCAUUGCAUCUGUUAAUGUAAUUCACCACAUUGACAGUAUAUAGGAGAAAAAAAUGAUCCUCUCAAUAGACGCAGAAAAAAAAUUUGAUAAACUUCCCCACUCUUUUAUAAAACAAGACUCUUGGUAAACCCACCACUUGCUGGUGAUACCACUCUUAGCAAGUAGGAGGAGGAGGAAACUUUGUUAGCCUUGAAAGGUAUCUAUAAAAAAACAUAGUUAAUAUAAUUCUUAUGGGGAAAUGUUAGAAACAUUCUCUUUAAAAUUGCGUAUUAUCUCCAAUUAUAUUGAACAGUGUCCUGGAAGCCAUAGGCAGCACAAUUAAAAGAAGAAAUUUAAGGCAUGAUAAUUAGGGAGAAAUAAAACUGUCAUUUGCAACUGAUUAUAUAUAUCUGGGUAUAAGAUCACUAUACAAAAGUCUAUUUUAUUUCUGUACACCAGAAACAAAUAACUAGAAAACAUAGUCAAAAAGAAAUAUUAUUGCAUUAGCAUCAAAUGUCAUGUGCCUAGGAAUAAGCCUAACAAAAGAUACACAAAGCCCUGACAAGCAAAAUUAUGAAACUUUGAGAGACGUAAAAGAAGACUUGAAUAAAUGGAGAGAUAUACUGUGUCAUGCUUAGGAAGAGUCAGUAUGGUAAAGAUAUAAAUUCUCUCCAGAUUGACCAUAGAGUCAGUCUAAUUCUAAUAAAAUACCACAUUCAAGGAACUUACUUGAUUCUGAAAUAUAUAUGGAUGAGAAAAGGGCCAAGAGUAGCAGAGACACUUCAGUGGACUCUAACAGAUCAUGAUCUACUAAGAGGCUGUAGUGACUAAGACAGCGUAGCAGCGGCUUAUAAAAAUUAAGAUGACGUACUGGAUAGACAAACUGACUUUGGGACGUCAUAGCCAGCUGGUGUAAUGUUCAUUGCAGCUUCGUGAUUGUAGAUACCCUUUAUCAUUUUGAGGAUGUACUCUUUCAUUCCUAGUUUGCUAAAUUUUUAUCAUAAAUAGACGUUGUAUUUCAUCAAAUACUUUAAAAGUUUUUAUUUCUUGUAUUUAAGUUUUUAGAAUUAUGAAUAUAAGUUGUAAAUAUCAUAAAAGAGAUGAGGAUAUAUUAGCAAUAUUAGUAACUGCAGUCUUAAGGAUGAGUCAGAUGGCAAUAGUAUUGAAAACUAAAGAGUUGAAGUAAAAAAUUCAGUAGGUAAACUGAAAGUGGUGUGAAUAUAAUGAAGAACAAAUUAGUGAGCGAAAUGAUAUGAGUAACAGUUCCAGAAAGCAUCAGGAAGGGGUAAAGAGAUGGAAAAUGUGGAGUAAAAAGACAUGAAGGCUAGAAGGAGAAGUGGCAACUGUUGUUACAGGAAGAGUCCCAAAGAGAGACAAAAAAUAAAGGAAAUACUUGUACAGAUAAUGGCUGUGAAGUCCCUAGUUUUAAGGAAAGAUAAAAGACUUCAGACUGAAAGGGCUUGUAGAGUGCUAAAUAGUAUAGAUAAGAAAAAUAUAACCGUAGAGAGAUUAUAGUGCAAUUCAAGAACAUCAAAAACAAAGGAAAGUUCUAAAAGCUUCCAGGGAGAUAUUGCAGAUCACACCUACAAAGCAACAAGAAUAGAUUGACAAUGGCAAUCUCAAAACAAGCACUGGAUUCAAUUAGAAAAUGGGUUACUGUUCACAAAAUGUUCAAUGAAAGAAUACAAAUAAGUUGAAGACUGAUUCACAAUAUAUUGGAAAUAAAGCAAAGUAACUGUACAUUUAUUGUUGUCCAAAAAGGUGAAGAUUUAAACAAAUAUUUAUUGUUAACAAUUUAGAAACCAACAUGACUAGAAUAGGGAGGAUCAGAGGGCAGUGAGUGCAUGCUAAGGUGCUUUGCAGCUGUUGAUAAGUUUUGGAAGUUGAGAGAGAUUAGGAAUCCAUCACCAGAACUGUCGGCUACAAUCACUUUGUUCUUGCUACUAUCUACCGUAGCAAAGUUAGAUGCUUCAAGUACCACAUCCCUCCUUGGAGUAAAUUUUAACUUGUCACAAAUACCUCCCAUCCUACUACGCAUGCCCUUUGCAAAGGGACUUCAUCAGUCCUUCCAUCAGUAGGUGAAGUCUGUUUCUCCACCCUGGGUCUGGUCUUGUGACUUGCUUUGACAAACAGAAUGUGACUGACGUAACAUUAUGUAAUGGCAGUUUCUGCUUUCUCCGUCUUGAAAUGCUGCCCUGGAAUGUGAUCACAAGGUAAGAGGCUGUGGAGAGGAGAGCUAAGUUGCCCUGCCAUCAAUUAGCACCAAACGUGUGCGUGAGGUGUUGCAGUGAGACCAAGAAAAUUGAGGAAAGGAACUACCCAACCAAGCCUCAGAAUCAAGAGAAAGAAUAAAUUAUUGUUCUAAGUCACUCAUUUUGGGGAGGGGAUAGUUUAUUAUGCAGCAAUAGACAACUGAUACACCCCCCCCCCUUUUAUCUUGGAUCUAAUUCAAGUCUCGUAGAAGUAUGUCUGAUGGGAAAACUUAAUUACAUCCAGAAUCACAGCUGCAGUGAAAUCCAUGAAAUGUUUUUAGUUUUCCAACUUCUGUUGCACUGGAGAGGUAUUGGAAUAGAUCAUGAACAGGACACAGUUUUGAUCUAUAGACUAAUUUGAAAACCUAGGUAAGAUAACUCUUGAAGUACAUUGGUCUAGAUACUAGAAAAGGAGGAAAAACAGUCUAACUCAUUUUAUGAGGCUAACAUAACUUUUACACCAGAAUCAGAGAAAGGAAAUAAGAACAGAAAAGCAAAAUUACAGUCAUUUCAAUUUUAAAUGUAGAUGUGAAUUUAGCUAAGUGAAUCUAACAUUUUAUUAAAAAUUGCAUUAAGUAGUGUUUGUCUCAAAAACUCAAUGGCAGUGAGUUUAGUAGCAGUGAGCCAAUCUAUCAAUGUAAUUCAUGCAUAAUGGACAGAAGAGAAAAGAAAUAUCAUGUCAAUAUGUGCAGAAAAAGCAUCUGAUAAAAUUGAACUGUGAUUUAUAACAAAAAUGAUCAGGCUAGAGGAAAACUUCUUACUUGAUAGAGGCUACAUACCAAAUCCUACAGCAAAAACAUAUUUAAUGGAGAAGCUUUAGAUACAUCAUGUCUCUUUAAGAUUGGGAAUAGUACAAAGAUACCUGCAGUCACCACAUGCAAAUACAGUCUUUUCCUAUGUGUACCAUGAUGUGAAAAAGUGCAAGCACUGCCAUGAAGUAUUUAAGACUUUUGUUUUGUUUUGUUUUGUUUGGUGAGGAAGAUCAGCCCUGAGCUAACAUCCAUGCCAAUCCUUCUCGUUUUUUGCUGAGGAAGACUGGCCCUGGGCUAACAUCCAUGCCCAUCUUCCUCCACUUUAUAUGGGACGCCACCACAGCAUGGCCCGACAAGCGGUGCAUCAGUGCGUGCCUGGGAUUCGAACUCAGGCCACCAGCAGCAGAGCGCAUACACCCAACUGCUACGCCACGGGGCCAGCCCCAAGUAUUUAACUUAACCUCACAAUGACUGCACCAGAUCUUUAUGAAGACAGCAAAAGAUCUGUACAGAUGGAAAGAUAUAUUUAUGGUACUACCAAUGUAAUAUUGUGAGGUGUUAGUACUCCCCAAAUAAAUUUCUAAGUUUAUUGCAAUCCCAAUAAAAAUUCCAGAGAGUUUUUUAAGAAAGUUGAAAAACUUACUCUAAAAUUUAUAUGGAGGCAUAAAGAUCCACAAAUAGCUACAUCAGUUUUGGAAAUGAUCGGGGAAACAGAAAAACAAAAUAGUGGACUGUUCCCCUAUUCUACAUUAUUCUACACUAUUCUACAUUCCAAUAAGGAAUGUAGAAGUAGAUCUAUGUAUAUGUGGGGAGCAGAUAUUUGAUAAACAUGGCACCACGUAUCAGUGGGGAAAGUAUAUAGCUGAGAAAGUUUCUUCCAAUAUGUGGAGAAAAUGUGAAAAAAUUAAACUAUGAGGCUAAAAGUGAAGACGUUCAAGAAUAUCUUUGUGACCUUGGGAUCAUGAGGCAGAAUAUUUACAUGACAGUAACCAUAAGGCAAGCAAUUGACUGAUUUGACUACAAGAAAAGUAAAUAUUUCUGUUCAGCAGGGACACCUAGAGUAGACCACCAUAUCAGAUGGAAGGCAAAAUAUAUUUGCAGUCAACUUUCUCAGGUGCCUGAUCCAAGAUAUUUGUAAUAUAAUUCCAACACGGAAUUAAUAUCAACAUUUUACCAAGAACAUCUACAAAACAAUAUAAACCAGAAAUCCAACAGGAAUUUGGCAAAAGAUAUAAACAGACAAUUCACAGAAGGAAAAAAUCUGAAAGGCCAACAGUAUAUGAAGAGAUGACCAGACUCAUUUUAAUCAGAGAAAUACGAAUUAAAACAACUAUGAGCUGCUUCUUUACACACAUCAGAUGGGCACAAAUUAGGAAAUCAGAUAUUAUCAAGUGUUAGUGAGGACCCUAGGGCAUAGGAACCCUCAUGGUCUAUUGAUAGAGUACAUAUAAGCUGAUAUAUCUCUCUGGAAGCAAUCUGGCAGUACAUACUUAACAAUUGAAAUUAAGUACUGUUGGCCCUUCAUAUCUGUGGGUUCCGCAUCCAAGGAUUCAACCAACCUUGUAUUAAAAGGCCUACAAUGUUGUGUAUGUAAGGAAAUGUACAGAUUUUUUUUCUUGUCAUUAUUCCCUAAACAAUACAGUAUAACAACUAUUUAGAUAGCAUUUACACUGUAUUAGGUAUUAUAAGUAAUCUAAAGAUGAUUUAAAGUAUACAGGAGGAUAUGUGUAGGUUAUGUGCAAAUACUGUGCCGUUUUAUGUAAGGGACUUGAGCAUCCUCAGAUUUUUAUAUCUGCGGGGUCCUGGAACCAAUCCCUCGAGGAUACCGAGGGACAACUCUAUGUGUAUUCCCUAUGACACGGCAACCCCACCAGUGAUUCUAUAUCCCCCAAAAUAGCUCACAUAGAUUCAUAAGGUUCAUUUAUCUAUAGCUAUAUAUCUCUAUUUAUAUCCAUCUUUAUUGACACGAUUAGAUCUAGAAACUGUUAAGCAAAAAAGUUAAAAAAUAGAAUUAAAUUUAUAACUCAGUAAUUUAUGUAAAUGAAACAACUGGAAUUUUUUUCAUACAGAAAAUAUAUGGAAAAUAACAUUAUAUAUUUUACAAAUAUGAUGUAUGUUCAUAUCCCCAGGAUCUGUAUCAGACACAUGACCAUUGGUAUCUGUAUGAAGAAUGAAGUGGGAAUAGAGAUAGUGGAUGAUGGAGAACAAAUACAACAAAGAAUGUGGCUGAAGUGAAGAUGUCAGCACGGGUGUGAGAGCGAGCUGCUCACAGGAAGCUUCACGUCUGGCUCAUCGGCCUGGAGGGGAAUUUGUGCAGGAGACUCGGAUCACCACACCUGCCAAGUGGCUCGUCGUCUGUCUGUCAGAGGAAACCAGACUCAAAGACAGGCAAAUGAUGAAUACAAUGUCUUCAGUAUGCUGGGAGAAAAGGAAAAUCGUUUAAUUCUUUAACUUUCCAGUGAUUUGACCCUGUGAACUGGGUGCCUGUGAAACUUAAACAAAAAUAAAAGCGAAAAUGAAAAUGAAGGGAAGAACAUUGGAGCAAAAGGAAAAAGAAGUUACUGAUUCCAUCAUUCACAAAACAGCAUACUGCUUUUGAAAGGAGAAGUCAGCCCACUGUGGCACCUAGUGGUGUGACCCCACAUAAUGACAGAGUCAAACAGAUACAGACAGUGGGGCCGCUUGAUGUCAGACUGCACUGUUCAGAGCUCAGGCUCCCAAGGGGCCUGGAGCAGCAGCAGUCAGCAGCACUUACCAGAAAUGCAGAUUCUGAGGCCCACCUGGACCUGCUGGGUCAGGACCUCUGGGGUGGGCCCCACACCGGGUGUGUUAACAAGAUCUCCCGUGAGUCUGAGAGUCUCGGGGUCUCGUGGAAUUUUUUUUCCUUUGAGCUGCAACUUAUUUUCCUCUACUCUAGGUUGGCCUGAGACCCAGGCCUGAUAAUUUGAAAGGGGGGCUGCUUCUACCUAUUUGUUUUUCUCUUUUUUUUUUUUUUUUUUUGUGUGAGUAAGACCAGCCCUGAGCUAACACCUGAUGCCAAUCCUCCUCUUUUUGCUGAGGAGGAUUGGCCCUGGGCUAACAUCCACGCCCAUCUUCCUCCACUUUAUAUGGGAUGCCGCCACAGCAUGGCUUGACAAGCGGUGUGUCAGUGCGCGCCCAGGAUCCGAACCUGCGAAGCCCGGGCCGCCAAAGCCGAGCCCGCGCACUUAACUGCUGCGCCACUGCGCCGGCCCCUCUAUCUAUUUUUUUUAUAUAAAAUCUUAUUCUGAAAUAAAUCUUAGAUGCAAAAGACAAUAUUUAGUGUAUGUGUAAAAUUAAAAGAACAAUAAAAUCAACACUCAAUUUAGGAACUAGAAUAUUACUAGUACUUACAACUUCCUGAUGCAUCUAGAAGCAAUUGUUUUUCGAGAUAGAGGGCAUUGGGCAAUAAGGUACUGUUUUUUUUAAUGUCUUUUUUAUUACUUCAGAGUCCAUCAUAUUAGACUUAAACCAUUUCAAGGAUGAAGCAAUUUUAAUUUAUUGCCUAACUUCUAAUUUGUGUUCUCAUUUAUAGUAUCCUCAUUAAUGUUUUGUAAUUCAUAAUAUCCUCACUAAAAUUUUAUAAUUCAGUCCUUCUUUCCUUGGUUUUGGUAAAAAUGUCUGGUGCUCAGGCAAAGACUGAUUAAACCAGCUAUAGGGGCAUUAAAAGUUAAUGCCUUUUUGUUUCCUUUUUACCCACGUAUCAGUGGUUACCAUGGUUACUGAGGGGGUCCAGGCAGUGCCAACUGGCAGAGGAGCUGGUACGCUUUCCCAGGCUCAGUUUCUCAGUUGCUACAACAUUACAGUAACUAGUUUUCAGGGAAAGCAUUUUUUUCUAUCCUAGAUGAAUUUGGGGAGCUUAUUAUCUCUUAUCUCACACCCUUGAUUCAACCAACUUACCACACACAAAGUCGCUGUUAGAGCUGCAGUGAGGCAGGCAAAGGCUACUG